AUGUACAUUCCUACAACAUAAAAUUAAUGCAUCAGAUCCCAUUAUAAAUCUGCAGUUAAGCACACUCGGGAUAGAGUAGCACUGGGAUGGGUGAUUGUCGAGGAAGUCCUAGUAUUUUACAUG
rnacentral:rRNA from 1 species